AGGACGAACGCUGGCGGCGUGCUUAACACAUGCAAGUGGAGCGACGAACCAGGGCUUGCCCUGGGGCAGAGCCGCGAACGGGUGAGUAACACGUGGGUUACCUGCCUUGAUGACCGGGACAACCCGAGGAAACUCGGGCUAAUACCGGAUGUGCCCGCAAGGGGAAAGGAAGCUUCGGCCUCCGCAUCAAGAUGGGCCCGCGGCCCAUUAGCUAGUUGGUGAGGUAACGGCUCACCAAGGCUUCGAUGGGUAGCUGGUCUGAGAGGACGAUCAGCCACACUGGGACUGAGACACGGCCCAGACUCCUACGGGAGGCAGCAGUGGGGAAUCUUGCGCAAUGCGCGAAAGCGUGACGCAGCAACGCCGCGUGGGGGAAGAAGGCUUUCGGGUUGUAAACCCCUUUCAGUUGGGACGAAGCUUCUCCGGUGAAUAGCCGGACGGAGUGACGGUACCUUCACAAGAAGCACCGGCUAACUACGUGCCAGCAGCCGC
rnacentral:rRNA from 1 species